ensembl:lncRNA
AUGGUUGCCUUCAGGGAUGUUGCCAUUCAACGCUAUGAUAACUGUCAGGAGCUAACAAGUCUGGCACCACUGAUAACCCCGGGAAUAAAACUUUCUCUCUCUGAUUUCAGUCAAAUCAUCAACCAGGCAAGUGACUUUGGUGAUCCAGCCCCAGAGGGAAAGAAUGAAAAGCUGAAAAGGAUGGAGGAACUAAAAGAGAAGCAGCCUGGAGCCCCUCCGUCUCCUUGACUUUGGGCAGCGGGGGUUUCCUUCCUUCGACAGACAGCUGAGGAGCUUAUCCGCCUCCAACUUCAGUGCCCCGGAGACCUCGACAGUCGCUGGUUUAAAGUACAGUGUCCUUGCUGUCGUUUGUGCUAGACAACGGGGACUCGCCUGUGAGAGAAUAUCCCCCUAUGAUAUACCCCUCUACCACAUUGAGUACACUUCGAAUGAGGUAAUUCUAGCUACAGAUUCUGUGACGCCAAUUACUACCACCCUGUUUGUCUCCAAGGCAGAUACACCUGCAUGAACUGUCCUCAGACUGCCACGGAGGACUCUCGGCUGGUCUUUCAUGGCAACCUCACUGACGUGCACCAGUGAGGGGCCAAAGUAUCAUGUCAAACACAUACGUCCAUAAAGCCAACGCAAAAAUAAUCACUACAGAUUACAAAUACUUUUAACUUCAUCAAAGUCAACAAAAGGUGUGAGGACAGACACAAAUACAGCCAAGUAAUAUUCAGCUAAAGGCCACUGAUGCAUUUCUUAUGUGUAACUGAAUGGCUAAGAGAAAGCACAGUACUCUCAUAGUGUCAAUGUCAGACAAGAUUCAAAAUGGUAUACAUGCGUCACAUGUCAAACUGUUUGUAGGGUCAGAAUUAUACCCAAGACUUGAAUGUGAGGGUGAAUAAUAACUGGAACGGUGGGGUGAUUUAAUAUAGCCUACUUUGGUGUAGCAAGUGCUCCCAUUCACUAAAUAUUUUAUGAUAUGUUUAAUUCAUCGCAUUUUUAAUGUUCCAGCCCUUGAGGCCCUUGGAGCGGAAGGUGGCUGAUGGACAGAAAAGCAGGUGACUACAGGCUGGGAAUGUCUGGCUCUGGCUCUAACUCUGGUCAGCAUCACUGUGAACCUCAUACUGGGACAUGUUACCGACAUGUUGGUGUGGUCCGUCGAAUACAAACUGUUCACCUGAAAGAUUGGCAAUAAUGUCAAUUUAGUGGUGCGAUACUGGAUUAAACUGUCGUUUAUCCUGUCCUUCACUCCACAUCAGACUUAGGGUGACCAGACGUCACAGAACAAUGCCUCUCUUUGUUUUGGUUGUGUAAUGACAGACGUGCUUUCUUUGUGUCAUAUAUCAUUUCUCUUGGAAAAUUGUAGCCCAGUAGCAAGCCAAAUGGCGUAACAAUCUUCUAGGGAAACUAAUCUAUACUCGAAGGGUGUCAUUUUCUACACAUUUACUUCAGAAUGAUAACUUAAAGUAAAAAUGUUGUCCACUGCCAGGUUCAAUGACACAUUUUCUGCAAAUUUUGUCCAAAAACGUUUUUUUUUUACCCUUUUGCUGUGGUAUAGUAAUCAUUACCUUACACCGAAAAGUGAGAAACUGAAAUAAAAUACAGAUGACAUUUACAUGCGUUAAGGUUUCACAUGUUUUGUUAAAUGUGCAACAUGUAAAAACUGGUCACCCAAAACAAAUAUUGGGCAGCAUACCACAAGAAUAACCACUACAAUUGGCUAUAUCACUAGCUCAGUUAGCAGUGUAGCUAGCGGCUCACACUCAAUGUUUACAACACUAGGACCGAAAUGAGCCGG